UGCUAGUUGAAGAUUAUGAUUUAUUGAAUAGAAUUAGACCAAAUUUAUAUAAGUGGUUUAUGAG
rnacentral:tRNA from 1 species